rnacentral:rRNA from 1 species
GAUGAACGCUAGCGGCAGGCCUAACACAUGCAAGUCGAGGGAGGAGCUUUCGGGCUUCGACCGGCGUACGGGUGCGUAACGCGUAUACAAUCUGCCUUUCACAUAGGGAUAGCCCGAAGAAAUUUGGAUUAAUACCUAAUGGUAUAUAGGAGUGGCAUCACAUUUAUAUUAAAGCUGAGGCGGUGAAAGAUGAGUAUGCGUUCUAUUAGCUAGUUGGAGAGGUAACGGCUCCCCAAGGCGACGAUAGAUAGGGGUUCUGAGAGGGAUAUCCCCCACACUGGUACUGAGAUACGGACCAGACGCCUACGGGAGGCAGCAGUGAGGAAUAUUGGACAAUGGUCGGAAGACUGAUCCAGCCAUGCCGCGUGCAGGAAGACGGCCUUAUGGGUUGUAAACUGCUUUUGCAGGGGAAGAAUAAGGACUACGAGUAGUUUGAUGACGGCACUCUGCGAAUAAGCAUCGGCUAACUCCGUG